AUUAGCCUAAAUUUACAGCUGUCAGCAUCGAUUUAGAGCACCAAAUCUAAAUGAACACACAUUCUGUGGAUUCCAAGGACAGAAAGCUAAAAGCCUGAGAUGAAGAUAUGGAUGUUUAAGGAAUGGGCAGAAGCCUUGAUUUCUUGGCAAGGAAGGGCUGCUAUGCACAGACCCUGCUUGCACACUUCUGGAGAGAGACACUGGUUCCUGUUCUUCAUGUUUUACGAGUUAAUGGGCACUGUGGUGAAACCUGUACUCUUCCAAAAGAGACAGAAGAAAAAAAGUGGGGAAAAAAAGUGAAGGAAAGAAGAAAAAAAGGGUGUUAAAGGGAAGACAAGUUCUGAGAGCAAG